ensembl:snoRNA small nucleolar RNA, C/D box 12
GCCAAUGCAGCUGAUGACAUAACUUUUCCCCGUCAGAUCGACAGUGUUGAUCUAAUGAACUAAUAGCCAGUUUUGUCUGAUGCAUUGGU